CCCCUGAGCCAAAGAGUAAACAGGAGCCAGCAAAGAGCUCAAGUCGGUGUGUAACUGCUCGGGCGGUGAUUACAUAAGCAGGACAUACCUGGGAGAGGCACUGAUCCAGGGGAUUUUAACAAGCAAGCGGGGAGGGCUAGCGUGGGAGGCGGGUAGGGGGAACGCCCAGUGCUGGAAUGGCGGAGCAGCUACCUGGCCUUGCUGGGAACUGGAGCCGGCUUGCUCAGGGAGGGAGGACACUCAAGUGUCACUUACUGAGGGCCUUGUACCAUGACAGGCCUCUUGCAUGAUUCUUUUGUUUAAUCCUCACAAGGGCACUGCAGAGUGGGCUAGUUCAGCUAUGCUCCCUUUGAUAGAUGAAAAAAUUAAAACUAGACACAGAGAGGGGUAGUCAUGAACCAAAGGCAGGCAGCAGCUGUGUGGUGAGCUGGGAUAGCCCCAGACUGGCUCCAGGGACUGCAGGGUAGACUGAGCUGUAAGGCUGGUGCUUUCUCUUCUCCUCUCCCUUCCCUGCCUUGCUGUCCUCCUUCCCUCCCUGCUUCCUCCAUUCCUGCCGUCAGAUCCCACGUCCAUUUAUUAUUUCCAUUGUCCACCUGGUGCCCGGCGGCUUUUCCCUUCUCUCCACAGUGGACCUGCAUCAAGAGAGGGACCAAAGGGAAGCAAGACGCAGCUGCUGGCUGCAGAAGGGCUUUCUGACAAGGACAGGUGAUGUAGAAGCGUCCGCCAGCCACGGAACAUGGCUUGAACACUUCGGGUGCUGAGCCCUUCCUGCCUGUGGGAAAUUGAGCAGUUUUGCAGUGAUCUCCUUUCGUCUGUGAGACGGCUCCAAGUUCAAAGCCAUUAUUCGCCUGUGGCAGAGAGGAGACUGAAGUCCAGAGAGGGAGGGUGACGUGAGACAAAGCGCGGAAGCGUGUCGGCAUCUGGUGAGUCUUUAGAGGUGGAGGCCCUUGUGAACGCUGCAACUGACAAUACGUGUCUCCCCAAAGUCCUGCAGGAAGGGCUGGAGCCCAGCGGACAAGCAACCGGUGAGGCCUUGUGCCCAGGCGUUCUUGCCUGCCUGGGCUGUCUGGGGCAACCAGGUCCAAACGGGGUGUCACCCCCAAGGGCGGGACCAGGGUACAAGUCACAUCAUGUGGGAGACCUCCCUUUCCCACGGCACCCCGGAGCUGCCAAGCGCCACGCUGCCAUUACAUAAGCCACCGACCUGCCACCGCUGGCUGCCCCGUGCGUUGCCAUGUAAAUAGAACCCUGUAUUUACCUACCGUGGGGAAGGGACAGGCCUACCUGGUGGGCGGAGAGACAGCAGCUCAGAGGCCUCCAGCUCUGAUUUCUGUUCUGCUCCAACUGCACACACAUCCUGUGCCCAGUAGCUGGGCUUGGGUGGGGGCGUGCCGGCAGAGGGGGCCAAGGGAAACUCUGCAUCCUGGGAGCAUGGGCCACAGGCCUCUGGGUUGCAGGCUCAGGUUGCAGCCGCCAGCCCUGGGUGGCGGAGACCAGACUCGCCUUGCAGGCUAGGGCCAUAUCUGAGCCGCAAGCGUCAGAUGGCCCUGAUGGCCCCAGAGGCCUCCCUGCUGUUGGCACCAGUCAGCUGUACAGGAAGAACAAAUGGCCAUCUGCACAGCCAGGGCCAGGGCCCGGGAGUCCCCAGGAGCCAGCCAUGAGCACAGCCUCACCUGUAACAACCAUUCCUCCAGGGAGCCAAACUCAGAAGAAACUGAGGCACAGAGAAGUAAAUGACUGACCCAAGACCACAGAGCUAAUGACAUGACAGAGUCAGGAUUUGAACCCAGGUUUCUCUGACCCUAAGUAGUUAUUCCCAAUAAGUAUGCUGCCCCCAUAUUUCAUCUCCGUGUUUUCAUCUACCAAGUAAGAGCAGUCAUAUAAUCCAAGACACAAUGUUACUCUGGGCUCUGUGAUGAAUAAUGGUAGCCUCGUGGCAUCUGUCCAUAGAUGCUUGGCUGGAUCAAUGGAUAAGUGGAUGGACAGUGGGACAGGUGGACAGACGGAUGGACAGAGUGCCACAUUUAUGAGUGGGGUCGGAAGAUGGGAGGAUGGAUAGAUGGAUGAGUGGUUAGAAGGAUGACCAAUAAGCAGAUAGACUGGUACAUGGACUAACAGGUGGAUGAGUAGAUGAAUGACGGAUAAAUGGUUGGAUGGGAGGAUGAGUGAAUGGGUGAGGACUAGAAAGGUAAACACAGAUAGGUGUUUGGAUGGAUGGUAGAAUAACAUAGGUAGAAUGGAUGGAUGAUUGAAGGAGUGAUAGGUGAUUGGAUGGAUGGAUGGAUAGAUGGAUGGAUGGAUGGAUGGAUGGAUGGAUGCAUGCAUGCAUGAAUAGGUAAAUCGGUGGAUGGAAGAUGAAUAAAUGAGUGGGUGGACUUGUAGAUGGAUGGAUAGAAAGGGCUUUGAAUGAAUGACCAACAGUUGGAUAGAGGAAUAAACAAGUAAAUGAAUGGAUCAAUGAACAGAUGGACAUGUGGAUGGCUACACAGAUGGUUGUAAUGAAGGCUAGAAAGAUGAAUGGACAGAUGGAUGAGAAGUUAAGUGGGUGAGUGGAUCGGUGGCUUUCCUUCCAAUCUAACUCUAGUUGGAGAAGAGACUCUCAAAUAUCCAAAGCCUAGCCAAACUGAGAGGGACUGCACCCAUACUAAAGGGUCAUCCAUACUAAAGGGUCAGCUCUGUGGUAUGGACGUUGCCUGAAGACUGUCAGGUCACCUCACGGAGCCCAUGUUCUUGCUGCUGUGAAACAGCCCUGUGGCAGGUGGAAGGAGUGGUGGCAGCCCAAGCAGGACCCCAGCCAAGCUGUGGAGGCUGCUCCUUUCCUUUCUCUCUACCACAGUGCCAAGCCAGGGCUCCUACGUAGCCCCUGCCAUUCUUCCCUCCUCCCCCUGAGUCAGGGCAGCUACAGGUAGACCAGUAGCUCCUUUUCCCACCCCACUAGAGAAGCCAGGGGAGAGCCCUCAACAGAGACAAGGGUCUGGGGACAUCCCCAGAUCUGACACUGGCCUGCCAUGUGAUCGGAGAGGUGGCACUGCCAGUCUCUGAUCUCUGCUAUGGGCAGCAGUCAGACUGGAGUGGAAAUACAUGGCAGAGAAGCUUGGAGUUACUUUGAGGCAGGCAGACGGAGCCGCCCCAGUCCCUGGUCACAGUCCCUGACACACCCCGCUCAGAGC